UUAAAGGUAAGCUAAAAAUAAGCUGUUGGGCUCAUAACUCAAAAAUAGAUUUCUCCUUUAAA
rnacentral:tRNA from 1 species